AACGAACGCUGGCGGCAGGCUUAACACAUGCAAGUCGAGCGCCCCGCAAGGGGAGCGGCAGACGGGUGAGUAACGCGUGGGAACGUACCUGUUGGUUCGGAACAACUCCGGGAAACUGGAGCUAAUACCGGAUAAGCCCUAACGGGGAAAGAUAUAUCGCCGAACGAUCGGCCCGCGUCUGAUUAGCUAGUUGGUGAGGUAACGGCUCACCAAGGCGACGAUCAGUAGCUGGUCUGGGAGGAUGAUCCGCCACCCUGGGACUGGGACACGGCCCAGACUCCUACGGGAGGCAGCAGUGGGGAAUAGUGGACAAUGGGCGCAAGCCUGAGCCAGCCAUGCCGCGUGAGUGAUGAAGGCCUUAGGGUUGUAAAGCUCUUUUGUCCGGGAAGAUAAUGACGGUACCGUAAGAAUAAGCCCCGGCUAACUUCGUG
rnacentral:rRNA from 1 species